rnacentral:rRNA from 1 species
GCUACCUGCAGUCGAGCGGCAGCACGGUAGCAAUACUGGUGGCGAGCGGCGGACGGGUGAGGAAUACAUCGGAAUCUGCCUUAUUGUGGGGGAUAACGUAGGGAAACUUACGCUAAUACCGCAUAAGACCGUAAGGUGAAAGUGGGGGACCGCAAGGCCUCACGCGAUAAGAUGAGCCGAUGUCGGAUUAGCUAGUUGGUGAGGUAAUGGCUCACCAAGGCGACGAUCCGUAGCUGGUCUGAGAGGAUGAUCAGCCACACUGGAACUGAGACACGGUCCAGACUCCUACGGGAGGCAGCAGUGGGGAAUAUUGGACAAUGGGCGCAAGCCUGAUCCAGCCAUGCCGCGUGGGUGAAGAAGGCCUUCGGGUUGUAAAGCCCUUUUGUUGGGGAAGAAAUCGUACGGUUGAAUAUUCCGUGCGGAUGACGGUACCCAAAGAAUAAGCACCGGCUAACUUCGUGCCAGCAGCCGCGGUAAUACGAAGGGUGCAAGCGUUACUCGGAAUUACUGGGCGUAAAGCCUGCGUAGGCGGUUUGUUAAGUCUGUCGUGAAAGCCCUGGGCUCAACCUGGGAAUUGCCAUCGGAUACUGGCAAGCUAGACUACGGUAUAGGAUGGUGGAAUUCCCGGUGUAGCGGUCAAAUGCCUAUAGAUCGUGAGGAACACCCGUGGCGAAUGCGGCCAUCCUCCACCAUUAUUGACGCUCAGUCACGAAACCUUGGAUC